GGAAGCUUACAUACUGGUCAUUCUCCUGCAAAGAGAAUAGGUUCGAAUCCUACAGCCUCCACCA
rnacentral:tRNA from 1 species